rnacentral:misc_RNA from 1 species
GUACGUACAGUGAGCGUCACGUAACAGCCGAGCCAGAAAACUCGACGAAAUGAUGGAUUUCAGAUUUCUUGAUUUUACGAUCGAACAGCAUUUGCACGUGAUUGCAAAAAUGUAAUGCUACGCAAACGAACUUUACGAAAUCGAUGAAAUUACAAAACGAAAUUAAGGUAUCUGUAUAUAAAUACGUCUCGUAGCUAUUAUAUAUUCUUUUGAAUACUUGUUUCAGGCAUCUCAAUUUUU